rnacentral:rRNA from 1 species
CGAAAAUUAAUACCCCAUAGUAAUAUCUGAUGGCAUCUGAGGAUAUUUAAAGAUUUAUCACUUGAAGAUGGGCGUGCGCCUGAUUAGGUAGUUGGCGGGGUAACGGCCCACCAAGCCUACGAUCAGUAACUGGUGUGAGAGCACGACCAGUCACACGGGCACUGAGACACGGGCCCGACUCCUACGGGAGGCAGCAGUAAGGAAUAUUGGUCAAUGGACGCAAGUCUGAACCAGCCAUGCCGCGUGGAGGAUGAAGGUCCUCUGGAUUGUAAACUUCUUUUAUCGGAGAAGAAACCCCCGAGUUCUCUUGGGGUUGACGGUACCCGAUGAAUAAGCACCGGCUAACUCCGUGCCAGCAGCCGCGGUAAUACGGAGGGUGCAAGCGUUAUCCGGAUUCACUGGGUUUAAAGGGAGCGUAGGUGGGCUGGUAAGUCAGUGGUGAAAUCUCCGGGCUUAACCCGGAAACUGCCGUUGAUACUAUCAGUCUUGAAUGUUGUGGAGGUAAGCGGAAUAUGUCAUGUAGCGGUGAAAUGCUUAGAUAUGACAUAGAACACCGAUAGCGAAGGCAGCUUGCUACACAAUUAUUGACACUGAGGCUCGAAAGCGUGGGGAUCAAACAGGAUUAGAUACCCUGGUAGUCCACGCCCUAAACGAUGGAUACUCGACAUACGCGAUACACAGUGUGUGUCUGAGCGAAAGCAUUAAGUAUCA